rnacentral:rRNA from 1 species
GCGCAUGCAGGCGGCCUGUUAAGUCAGAUGUGAAAGCCCGGGGCGUUAACCUCGGAAUUGCAUUUGUAAACUGGCAGGCUAGAGUCUUGUAGAGGGGGGUAGGAAUUUCAGGUGUAGCGGUGAAAAUGCGUAGAGAUCUGAAGGAAUACCAGUGGCGAAGGCGGCCCCCUCGGACAAAGACUGACGCUCAGAUGCGAAAGCGUGGGGAGCAAACAGGAUUAGAUACCCUGGUAG